AGAGUUUGAUCCUGGCUCAGGAUGAACGCUAGCGACAGGCUUAACACAUGCAAGUCGAGGGGCAGCACAGGUAGCAAUACCGGGUGGCGACCGGCGCACGGGUGAGUAACGCGUAUGCAACUUGCCUAUCAGAGGGGGAUAACCCGGCGAAAGUCGGACUAAUACCGCAUGAAGCAGGGAUCCCGCAUGGGAAUAUUUGCUAAAGAUUCAUCGCUGAUAGAUAGGCAUGCGUUCCAUUAGGCAGUUGGCGGGGUAACGGCCCACCAAACCGACGAUGGAUAGGGGUUCUGAGAGGAAGGUCCCCCACAUUGGUACUGAGACACGGACCAAACUCCUACGGGAGGCAGCAGUGAGGAAUAUUGGUCAAUGGCCGAGAGGCUGAACCAGCCAAGUCGCGUGAGGGAUGAAGGUUCUAUGGAUCGUAAACCUCUUUUAUAAGGGAAUAAAGUGCGGGACGUGUCCCGUUUUGUAUGUACCUUAUGAAUAAGGAUCGGCUAACUCCGUGCCAGCAGCCGCGGUAAUACGGAGGAUCCGAGCGUUAUCCGGAUUUAUUGGGUUUAAAGGGUGCGUAGGCGGCCUUUUAAGUCAGCGGUGAAAGUCUGUGGCUCAACCAUAGAAUUGCCGUUGAAACUGGGGGGCUUGAGUAUGUUUGAGGCAGGCGGAAUGCGUGGUGUAGCGGUGAAAUGCAUAGAUAUCACGCAGAACCCCGAUUGCGAAGGCAGCCUGCCAAGCCAUUACUGACGCUGAUGCACGAAAGCGUGGGGAUCAAACAGGAUUAGAUACCCUGGUAGUCCACGCAGUAAACGAUGAUCACUAGCUGUUUGCGAUACACUGUAAGCGGCACAGCGAAAGCGUUAAGUGAUCCACCUGGGGAGUACGCCGGCAACGGUGAAACUCAAAGGAAUUGACGGGGGCCCGCACAAGCGGAGGAACAUGUGGUUUAA
rnacentral:rRNA from 1 species